AACGAACGCUGGCGGCGCGUCUUAACCAUGCAAGUCGAGCGGCAGGCAGCAAUGCCGAGAGCGGCGGACUGGUGAGUAACACGUGGAUAACGUACCCCGAUGUCUGGGACAGCCUGUAGAAAUAGAGGGUAAUACCGGAUAGAUCACUGUUUACGUGAGGUAGACAGCGGGAAAGGAGCUUCGGCUCCGCGUCGGGAACGGUCUGCGGCCCAUCAGCUAGACGGCGGGGUAAGUGCCCGCCGUGGCGAGGACGGGUAUCCGGCCUGAGAGGGCGGACGGACACAUUGGGACUGAGAUACGGCCCAGACUCCUACGGGAGGCAGCAGGUAAGAAUAUUCCGCAAUGGGGGGAACCCUGACGGAGCGACGCCGCGUGAACGAAGAAGGCCGGAAGGUUGUAAAGUUCUUUUCUGUUCGAGGAAUAAGUGUAGGAGGAAAUGCCUGCAUGGUGACGGUAGGGCAGGAAUAAGCACCGGCUAAUUACGUGCCAGCAGCCGCGGUAACACGUAAGGUGCGAGCGUUGUUCGGAAUUAUUGGGCGUAAAGGGCAUGCAGGCGGGUCGCCAAGCUUGGUAAGAAAUACCGGGGCUCAACUCCGGAGCUAUAUUGAGAACUGGCGAGCUAGAGUUGCCGAAGGGUAUCCGGAAUUCCGCGUGAAGGGGUGAAAUCUGUAGAUAUGCGGAAGAACACCGAUGGCGAAGGCAGGAUACCGGCGGACGACUGACGCUGAGGUGCGAAGGUGCGGGGAGCAAACAGGAUUAGAUACCCUGGUAGUCCGCACAGUCAACGAUGUACACUGGGCGUGUGCGCAAGAGCGUGCGUGCCGAAGCAAACGCGAUAAGUGUACCGCCUGGGGAGUAUGCCCGCAAGGGUGAAACUCAAAGGAAUUGACGGGGGCCCGCACAAGCGGUGGAGCAUGUGGUUUAAUUCGAUGGUACGCGAGGAACCUUACCUGGGUUUGACAUCAAGAGCGAUACUAUAGAGAUAUGG
rnacentral:rRNA from 1 species